UUCUCUAUAUCAAUCCUUCGAUAAAGCAAGAGACGACUAUAAAAAAACUGACUUUUCCAUUUACCGGAAGAAAGGUCAUCAAACUGAGCGUCUGAAUAAAAGGACUCAGUUCCCCUGAACGGCCUAAUGUCCGCCGCCUCUAGCCGAUGCGCACUAUAAUGAGUUCAAAUGCUUUCCUUUCUCCAUACCUCCUACCCUCUGAACUUCCUGGAUUGAGCUGGUCCAAGGUGUUUCCGGCAAAGCUAGGAACGCGCGUCAAACCUUUCGGCCCCGUGUUAACCACAUAAAAGAGACGAUUCAUUCUAUUCCCUCGGUUAUAUUUGACUAAGACCCAGAGGAUAUCCCAAAGUGGGCAUUCGGGCUCAUCCCUCCCUUCACGGUCGCAGUCCUCUUAGCCAUAGGGUUUUCUUGCUCGCCC
rnacentral:lncRNA from 1 species